UGUCAGAUUUCCACCAUCAUCUAACCCACAGUACCUGCUCCUGUCUGUGUGCAUUCGCCAGGAUUCAUCAUGUGAUUAUCUGAAAUUACUACCAAAAUCGUAACCUUUUCAAUGAUGAGUUUUUCUUCCCUAGGCUGACAUUCAUUAUAAAAUUUAGAGGAAAACAAGAGUGCCAACAGCAGCCAAGUCCAGAAAAUGUGUAGGGAAGGCUUACUCUCAAAGCUAUUGGAAAUUAAUAAAAUAUAUUCAUGAUAA
rnacentral:lncRNA from 1 species